rnacentral:rRNA from 1 species
UCGUCAGCUCGUGUUGUGAAAUGUUGGGUUAAGUCCCGCAACGAGCGCAACCCUUAUCCUUUGUUGCCAGCGGUCCGGCCGGGAACUCAAAGGAGACUGCCAGUGAUAAACUGGAGGAAGGUGGGGAUGACGUCAAGUCAUCAUGGCCCUUACGACCAGGGCUACACACGUGCUACAAUGGCGCAUACAAAGAGAAGCGACCUCGCGAGAGCAAGCGGACCUCAUAAAGUGCGUCGUAGUCCGGAUUGGAGUCUGCAACUCGACUCCAUGAAGUCGGAAUCGCUAGUAAUCGUGGAUCAGAAUGCCACGGUGAAUACGUUCCCGGGCCUUGUACACACCGCCCGUCACACCAUGGGAGUGGGUUGCAAAAGAAGUAGGUAGCUUAACCUUCGGGAGGGCGCUUACCUCUUUGUGAUUCAUGACUGGGGUGAAGUCGUAACAAGGUAGCCGUA